UCCUUAUGUUUUCAUACUGUCGCUGAAGAUCAUUUGAUAUGGAUGCUAAUAUGUAACACUUUGUCUUGCUAUCUUCAUCAUCCAUUUCUCAAGUACGACUGUUGAUUAGGGGAUGGACAAGCAAGUAACACAGGCGCAUCCAAGUCAAGGAUAUGGGUGAGUUUCUCGAAGCUGAGAAUGAUUCUUAGAUUUUGGAGCCAGUCUUUAUAGUUGGUACCAGCCAACC
rnacentral:lncRNA from 1 species